GACGAACGCUGGCGGCGUGCUUAACACAUGCAAGUCGAACGGAAAGGCGCGGCUUUUGUGGGGUGCUCGAGUGGCGAACGGGGGAGUAACACGUGAGUAACCUGCCCUUGACAUUGGGGUAACUUCAGGAAAAUGGGGCGAAUACCGGAUAGGAGCUCCUGCUGCGUGGUGGGGGUUGGAAAGAGUCGGCGGUUGGGGAUGGACUCGCGGCUUAUCAGCUUGUUGGUGGGGUAGUGGCUGACCAGGGCUUUGACGGGUAGCCGGCCUGGGAGGGUGACCGGGCACAUGGGGCCUGAGAUACGCCCCAGACUCCUACGGGAGGCAGCAGUGGGGAGUAUUGCACAACAGGCGGAAGCCUGAUGCAGCAACGCCGCGUGCGGGAUGACGGCUUUCGAGUUGUAAACCGCUUUCGCCUGUGACGAAGCGUGAUUGACGGUAAUGGGUCAAGAAGCACCGGCUAACUACGUG
rnacentral:rRNA from 1 species